ACGGAGGGUGCAAGCGUUAUCCGGAUUCACUGGGUUUAAAGGGUGCGUAGGAGGGCAGGUAAGUCAGUGGUGAAAUAUCUCAGCUUAACUGAGAGGGUGCCAUUGAUACUGCAGGGCUUGAGUACAGAUGAGGUAGGCGGAAUUGACGGUGUAGCGGUGAAAUGCAUAGAUAUCGUCAAGAACACCGAUAGCGAAGGCAGCUUACCAAGCUGUAACUGACACUGAGGCACGAAAGUGUGGGGAUCAAACAGGA
rnacentral:rRNA from 1 species